rfam:Aedes aegypti strain Liverpool supercont1.151 genomic scaffold, whole genome shotgun sequence.
GGCUCGGUAGCUUAGUUGGUAAAGCACUCGUCUAGCAUACAAGAGUCCUGGAUUCAAAUUCUAGCCGAGCAC